GUGGGGAAUCUUCCGCAAUGGACGAAAGUCUGACGGAGCAACGCCGCGUGAACGAUGACGGCCUUCGGGUUGUAAAGUUCUGUUAUACGGGACGAAUGGUACGACGGCCAAUACCCGUCGUAAGUGACGGUACCGUAAGAGAAAGCCACGGCUAACUACGUGCCAGCAGCCGCGGUAAUACGUAGGUGGCAAGCGUUGUCCGGAAUUAUUGGGCGUAAAGGGCGCGCAGGCGGCGUCGUAAGUCGGUCUUAAAAGUGCGGGGCUUAACCCCGUGAGGGGACCGAAACUGCGAUGCUAGAGUAUCGGAGAGGAAAGCGGAAUUCCUAGUGUAGCGGUGAAAUGCGUAGAUAUUAGGAGGAACACCAGUGGCGAAAGCGGCUUUCUGGACGACAACUGACGCUGAGGCGCGAAAGCCAGGGGAGCAAACGGGAUUAGAUACCCGAGUAGUCC
rnacentral:rRNA from 1 species